GCCAGGCAUGGUGGCGCAUGCCUGUAGUCCCAGCUACUCGGGAGGCUGAGGCAGGAGAAUCGCUUGAACCCAGGAGAUGGAGGUUGCAGUGAGCCAAGAUCAUGCCAUUGCACUCCAGCCUGGGUGACAGAGUGAGACUCUGUCUCAA
rnacentral:SRP_RNA from 2 species